GAUGAACGCUAGCGGCAGGCUUAAUACAUGCAAGUCGAGGGGCAGCAUGAUUGUAGCAAUACAAUUGAUGGCGACCGGCAAACGGGUGCGGAACACGUACACAACCUCCCAAUAAGUGGGGAGUAGCCCAGAGAAAUUUGGAUUAAUACCCCGUAACAUAACGAUGUGGCAUCACAUUGUUAUUAUAGAUUUUUCGCUUAUUGAUGGGUGUGCGGCUGAUUAGAUAGUUGGCGGGGUAACGGCCCACCAAGUCUACGAUCAGUAGCUGAUGUGAGAGCAUGAUCAGCCACACGGGCACUGAGACACGGGCUCGACUCCUACGGGAGGCAGCAGUAAGGAAUAUUGGACAAUGGACGCAAGUCUGAUCCAGCCAUGCCGCGUGAAGGAUUAAGGUCCUCUGGAUUGUAAACUUCUUUUAUAAGGGACGAAAAAAGGCUUUUCUAAGUCGUCUGACGGUACCUUAUGAAUAAGCACCGGCUAACUCCGUGCCAGCCGCCGCGGUAACAC
rnacentral:rRNA from 1 species